CAGCCGCCGCGGUAAAACGAAGGGUGCAAGCGUUACUCGGAAUUACUGGGCGUAAAGCGUGCGUAGGUGGUGGUUUAAGUCCGUUGUGAAAGCCCUGGGCUCAACCUGGGAAUUGCAGUGGAUACUGGGUCACUAGAGUGUGGUAGAGGAUAGUGGAAUUUCCGGUGUAGCAGUGAAAUGCGUAGAGAUCGGAAGGAACAUCUGUGGCGAAGGCGACUAUCUGGGCCAACACUGACACUGAGGCACGAAAGCGUGGGGAGCAAACAGGAUUAGAUACCCCCGUAGUCCCUGUCUCUUAUAC
rnacentral:rRNA from 1 species